AAUAAAACAAUAAAAUAUAUAAUAUCCCUAAGACUUAAAAAUGUUUAAUUAAGGCGUAUAAGAUAAAUAAUAUAUUUAAAAAUAUUUUUGCAGACCCAGGGAUGACGGAAAUGACACCUGUAUAAUGCAAAAUGAUGGAUACAGUACUCAUGGUAUAAUAGUCUACUGCCAAUUCAUACGAUUUAUUAAAUAGCCGUUAGUUCCUACUUAGUAUAAUGUAUAUGAAAAGUGAAAACUGUGGAACGCCAUACAACACGCGAUUGAAUACUGAAUGUGUAUACGUUGCCAUCGUUAUUAACGUCCAUCAGAAAUUUGUCUGUUGUUGAGUCACACAUAGCUUACAGUAGUAAACAAACGACAUAGAAAGUCGUUGAUUUUAUGAACAGUUUAUUAAGUUAUCGCGUGGGUCGUAAACACGAUUCCGGAAUACAGAAGUCAUGACGAACGGACGACGUUGCGCAUAAACACUCGUAUUUUAUUACUCUGCAUAAGUAUACAUUAUUGUAAUAUACAGCGUGGAUCCACCACAUCAGCCUCCACUGGCGUCGGUACUCGACUUCAUGCGGUGCGAAACAGUAUACUGCAAUAUUAUGGUGAAAACGGAAUACUAUACACACAUGGGCUGUAUUCUACUACGCAUAUGAUGUAUAUUGACAACACAAAAUACGUCGCGACGCGGGUAUCCUGACGAGACCGACCCUCCUCCGCGGAGCCGACGCAGAGUACCGCAGCUCUCCGUAUUGACUCAUUGUUAUUACACAUUUGGCGUCCCCUCGCCCAACAAUGAUGAUAAUGAUAAUAAUAAUAAUAAAACGAAACUUUUGUCAUUCGGCGCAAUCGACUGUGUGGUCACGGUCGUCUAGAAUCGCGUACAUAAUACGACGAUGCGGUCACAUACGACGGGUGAGGGGGAGGCCACACCACUAUACGGUAAACGUAUUUUUGUGUGCCGCGUUCUGCGGUCUUGCGGGCCCGCGAGCCGUGAAGAAAUAAAAGAAAUCUCUUUGGAUAAAUAUUUUAGUCGUUUGCAUUGUAAAAAAGCAAUAAUAUUAUGAUCUCAAGACGUGUAUAGCUAUAGGAACUCGCCUUUUACGUACCCGUACGUCACGUAAAAGAUGCAUUGUGCUACGUUUUCACCGAAUUAUUUUUUCAUCAUAGCUUUUCGAAAGAGUGUAUCGUGAUAAAAUAUUUAAUACAAGUACCUACGUACUCGCAAUAUUCGAUUCUUGAAACGGAUCUUUUUAUUUUCUUAUGAAAACAUUAUACUUUUUCCAGUAUACUUCUAAAAUUCUCUUCAGCGUUAUUCACUUCGAUUGUUAGUAUGAGUGUAUUCAGUAUUGUAUUAUUAAAAUACGAAAU